AGCAAACUUAUUUGAUAUCCUGAAAUGGUAGCCUUCGCAAAGUUGAUUCAGAAAGUUACAAAGUUCUAGCAAUUUGAAACUUUGCCUUUGUUGUAGGUUAUAGCUCGGCAAUGUUUGGAGGCCUUGGUUUACUUGCACCGUCUGAGGAUCAUUCAUUGUGACCUAAAGCCAGAAAAUAUUCUUAUCAAGAGCUACAGUAGAUACGAAAUUAAAGUCAUUGAUCUGGGAAGUAGUUGCUUCUUGACAGACAGCUUAUGCCUCUAUGUCCAAUCACGCUCUUAUCGAGCUCCUGAGGUCAUUCUAGGCCUACCUUAUGAUCAGAGGAUUGAUAUUUGGUCUCUUGGUUGCAUCCUUUCUGAAUUGUAUACUGGUGAAGUAUUAUUUCCUAACGAGCAUGUGUCCGUAAUGCUUGCUCAAAUGAUCGGGAUAACCAGCCCAAUUGACAUGGAAAUGCUAGAAUUGGGACAGGAGACACAGAAGUAUUUCACUGAUGAUUAUGACCUUUUUACC